CUCCAUCUUCGCUAUGCUCUAAAGCAGCCAUAUACAUAAUCCCUCAAAAUCCGAAAAGAAAGCAGAAACAAAAACUAAGUCCUUUUUCCAGUGAAUUUCUAACCUGCAAAUGGCAGCGACCUAUUUCCACAACGCAAUACCCUAAUAAAAUAGUCAGCUUCAUCUGCAUGAAACCCACAACUCGAUUAUGUCCACUCUCCAUUCAAGUUCAAGAAAAUUAAGAUAAGAAAGAAAUAAACAAAAAGAAACAGAAAAAGCGACAGCUUUACACAAUCCAAAUAGUUACAUGCCCAAGCGCCCAUAACUAGCUGCAGAAAGUAGGCUUCAAUCAAGCAAGGGUGCAUUGGGAGGGAGAUAGAGAAGCUUUAACAAAUCAAUUAACAACAAUGAGAGAAUGAGAGAGAAAGAGAGAGAGGAUUAUUUAUCAUCAUUGAUAUAUCACAAAAAUAUGAAAUUCUGCAUGUUUUAGUUUUGCCUAGUAUGCCAGCCUAAAAUAUAGAAAAAAUAUAUCAGAUCUGCCUAAAUUUUUAUAAAUUGUCAUUACCUGUACAAUGCUGUUACAAGAGCAUGCAAACCCAGCCCUAGCAGGACCCAUUGCUGUCAGCACUGCUCCAUCAACUAUACUAAUUCAUUCAAGCUUAGAAUUAGAAUGCCU
rnacentral:lncRNA from 1 species